CAAACAUCCUUUGGUAACUCCUGUUUCUCACUAGCUUGAGGAAAGGCAGAAAAGUUUGGGACCUGCGGUGGUGUUCGCUAGAGUAGGAACCACGUUGUCAAGCACACCAGAUAUAAACCAGCUUUUUGGCUCAGACCUUUUCCUCUGAAGACACCUGCUUCCUGUGCAAAAUACUGAGGGCCCAGCCUAGGUGUUGAGGUUGUUGGCUUUGCUGCUCCAUCAGACUUCGGGGAGCUGCUUGUACAGUGAAGUAUUCAGUUGUGCCUGCAGUCUCCAGAGGAACACACAGCUAAGGAAGAGGAAGACCUGUGAGGAUGACAAGCUGAGGGAUGUCCAAGUGUUCAGGAAAAGAGAAUGUGGGCCUGGACCAUCCUUAUGGCCUCCGCAUAGAGAGUGCCACCUGGGAGGGCUUGCGGAGGAGGAUCCUGAUCAUGGUGUGAAGAGAUAUUUUCCUGAGCUGCCAUGACUUCUGGUUGCCUGCUGUGAGAAACUGGUACCAGCCAGCUCACUUAAGCUGAUGAAAAAGUCUGAGUUAGAGGAGGUCACAGCCUUCCCUCCAGACUUAUCUUGUGAUGCACAUUGACCAGAUACACGUCUAGCAUUGAUACACAUGUGCAAUGGUUGGUGGAUGUCUAGAGACGUAUCUUCAGGCUGUGCCAGUGCUGCUGGUAUUGUAUAUUAUUAAUCUGAUAAUAAUAGAGCUGGAAGAAGGUAAAACAUAUGAGAAAUUAACUUGUGACUUUUGUUGCAAAUUGAAAGAAUUGCCCCCAAAGAGUCCUUGUUUUGAAGAAAACUGAACACUGCUUAACCUUUUGCUGCCAGUCCCUGCUGAAAUCAAGAUUAGAACAUCUGUUCUGUCCUGCCUCUAGUUGGAAAUUCUGGACAAUGGAACAACCAGAUACAUUCAUGUAUACUAAACAUUAAAGACUGAUUUACACGCUCUUUUCUUGUUGGAUAUUCAUUAUUUUUAAUGCAGUUAAAAUGAUCUGUAAAUACAUCAUGCAAUGAUUUCCUGUCAGAAUUUUUUUCUGGAGGAGUGAUGGAAACUGAGCAGCUGUAAUGGAUUGUCAGCACAGCGUUUGAAUGCCAGCCAGCUGACAAAAGUGUCCAAAUAUACCUCUCUUUGAUGACACAAUGGUAAGUAUUGGUGAUAAUAGUUGUUUCCUUUGGGGAAAUGUAAGGUGAAGAGUUUAGGUAGGAUUUUUGUAGAUUAAUUUUCUAAGAGUGAGAAAUCUAACUUAAAGGACUCAUUUGGGCUGUUGUUUUUUCUCAUCAAAAACAUCUCAGAAAAUAUCUCCUCAGGCUGUAUGUCCCAGCCUGAGAGAGUGGAGUAUAUGUGACUUGAGUAGCUGGUUAAACAUACCCACUUCUCUCUGUAGUUUGUCAGAAGAAACCUGGGUAGCUAGUUUAGAUUAGAUCUGAAUGUGAAGAAUUGAAGUGAGAGAACAUGAAUCUUUUUGUCUUUAAAUUGUAUUUGAACAUAGGUGUGAAUUUUCACAAUUCUAAGAUCUUGUGGGAAAUGUGGGAAUGAGAUACACAUGAACAAAAUAUUCCUGCUGAUUUUGUUGCCUCCCACUUGUAUCAGGGGGAGACGGUGGGAAAAAGUAUGUCCGAAUUUUUGAGGGCAUUUUGCACCUUUGAGAUGAUGGUGUUUUACAGAUUCUUCAUGAAAUAGCAAACUUUAUAGCUAACAGAUAUUUCUAAAGCAUGAUUGAGGCCAGAGAGUAUCUAAGGCAGAACUCUCUCUUGUGAGAUUUCGAUUCCUUAUCUUUCGCCUAGUGAAGUACGUCACAAUUUGAUUUUAAAUUUCUCUGCCUGUGAGGGGGAACACUGAUAGGAACCAGAGUGAGAUAUGGUGCUCUGUGUGUGUUUUAAUCUCCCAUGUGCCUUUUGAAGGCAGAUUAAUAAUUUCCAUGAUCAUUUAUAUUAAUAAAAUUCUGGAAAAGUAUGUUGGUAAAUG
rnacentral:lncRNA from 1 species